rnacentral:rRNA from 1 species
UCUCGUUGAUGAUCGGUGCUUGCACGAGAUUCAACAUGGAACGAGUGGCGGACGGGUGAGUAACACGUGGGUAACCUGCCCUUAAGUGGGGGAUAACAUUUGGAAACAGAUGCUAAUACCGCAUAGAUCCAAGAACCGCAUGGUUCUUGGCUGAAAGAUGGCGUAAGCUAUCGCUUUUGGAUGGACCCGCGGCGUAUUAGCUAGUUGGUGAGGUAAUGGCUCACCAAGGCGAUGAUACGUAGCCGAACUGAGAGGUUGAUCGGCCACAUUGGGACUGAGACACGGCCCAAACUCCUACGGGAGGCAGCAGUAGGGAAUCUUCCACAAUGGACGCAAGUCUGAUGGAGCAACGCCGCGUGAGUGAAGAAGGCUUUCGGGUCGUAAAACUCUGUUGUUGGAGAAGAAUGGUCGGCAGAGUAACUGUUGUCGGCGUGACGGUAUCCAACCAGAAAGCCACGGCUAACUACGUGCCAGCAGCCGCGGUAAUACGUAGGUGGCAAGCGUUAUCCGGAUUUAUUGGGCGUAAAGCGAGCGCAGGCGGUUUUUUAAGUCUGAUGUGAAAGCCCUCGGCUUAACCGAGGAAGCGCAUCGGAAACUGGGAAACUUGAGUGCAGAAGAGGACAGUGGAACUCCAUGUGUAGCGGUGAAAUGCGUAGAUAUAUGGAAGAACACCAGUGGCGAAGGCGGCUGUCUGGUCUGUAACUUGACGCUGAGGCUCGAAAGCAUGGGUAGCGAACAGGAUUAGAUACCCUGGUAGUCCAUGCCGUAAACGAUGAAUGCUAAGUGUUGGAGGGUUUCCGCCCUUCAUGCCG